UCCUCUAUGGUCCAAUGGCUAGGAUAUCCGCCUCUCACGUGGAUGGUCCGGGUUCGAUUACCGGUGGAGGAA